GGGCCUGUAGCUCAGCGGUUAGAGCUGGCCGCUCAUAACGGCUAGGUCGGGGGUUCGAGUCCCUCCUCCG
rnacentral:tRNA from 1 species